UCUUGGUCAUUUAGAGGAAGUAAAAGUCGUAACAAGGUUUCCGUAGGUGAACCUGCGGAAGGAUCAUUAUAGAGUUAUGCCCUAACGGGUAGACCUUUUUUAAACCCUUUUUUUUGUCGUCUGAGUAUUAUUUUAAUAGUUAAAACUUUCAACAACGGAUCUCUUGGUUCUGGCAUCGAUGAAGAACGCAGCGAAAUGCGAUAAGUAAUGUGAAUUGCAGAAUUCAGUGAAUCAUCGAAUCUUUGAACGCACAUUGCGCCCCUUGGUAUUCCAGGGGGCAUGCCUGUUCGAGCGUCAUUUCAACCCUCAAGCUUUGCUUGGUAUUGGGCUCUUGUUGUUAACACAACAGGCCUUAAAAUCAGUGGCAGUGCCGUUGAGUCCUGAACGUAGUAAUAUAUUCCGUUAUAGGUUCUCAAUGUGUUUUUGCCAUUAAACCCCCCAAUUUUCUAUGGUUGACCUCGGAUCAGGUAGGGAUACCCGCUGAACUUAAGCAUAUCAAA
rnacentral:sRNA from 1 species